rnacentral:rRNA from 1 species
ACGGCGCACGGUAGGCGUAACGACGUACUAGCAAUCUACCUUUUACAGAGGGAUAGCCCAGAGAAAUUUGGAUUAAUACCUCAUAGUAUGUGAGAAUCGCAUGGUUUUCACAUUAAAGUUCCAACGGUAAAAGAUGAGCAUGCGUCCCAUUAGCUAGAUGGUAAGGUAACGGCUUACCAUGGCGACGAUGGGUAGGGGUCCUGAGAGGGAGAUCCCCCACACUGGUACUGAGACACGGACCAGACUCCUACGGGAGGCAGCAGUGAGGAAUAUUGGACAAUGGGCGCAAGCCUGAUCCAGCCAUGCCGCGUGCAGGAUGACGGUCCUAUGGAUUGUAAACUGCUUUUGUACAGGAAGAAACACUCCCUCGUGAGGGAGCUUGACGGUACUGUAAGAAUAAGGAUCGGCUAACUCCGUG